GACGAACCGUCCUAACGUUGUUCGGAAUCACUGGGCUUAAAGGGCGCGUAGGCGGGCAAGCAAGUCCGGGGUGAAAGCCCCCAGCUCAACUGGGGAAGGGCCUUGGAUACUGCUUGUCUCGAGGGGGGUAGGGGCGUGCGGAACUGUGGGUGGAGCGGUGAAAUGCGUUGAUAUCCACAGGAACUCCGGUGGCGAAGGCGGCACGCUGGACCCCUUCUGACGCUGAGGCGCGAAAGCCAGGGGAGCGAACGGG
rnacentral:rRNA from 1 species